UUUUAACUGCACUCAAUGAACAAAAUGAUAUCUAGGUGGCAGAAUUUAGUAAAGUUUUAGUAUAUAUUGAAAACAUUUUUGUUUAAUUGAUGUAGUAAGGGAUUAAAUUUCUGUCAGUUUUAUUUAGGCUAUCGAUCAGCUUUGAACUGAAAAAGUUGUUCGAAUUGUAAUUUCCGUCUUUGGCAAAAUUUUUGUGCAACUCACCAAGAUGUUCUUGCAACCCCAAAAUUGGAUUUAAAAUGUUUAAUUUUAUAAAAGUCUAUAAAAAAGUGAAGAAAAAGGCCGAAUACAAUCUUACCUAAGAAUGGAGUUUUUCUCAUGUGCUACACGUGGUAUUUGUAACAAGGGUGAUCGUGACUUCACCGCAUUGUGGAUAAUGAUAGCUCUGGUUUGCACGGCACUAAUCCUUCUUAUUGUAUUUUUGGUUAUAUAUUUUGAGUAACUGUGGUGUACAAUAAAUGUGUAAACUUA